rnacentral:lncRNA from 1 species
AAACAAACCUUAGCCUCCCCUUUUCUCCAGCCGAACUAAGCCAAACUCCUUUGGCCAUGGCCCCAUCGCAGCCUACAACGGACGCCUUCGUCCCUCAUCGUCGAUUUACAACCCUGCGAUUUCUCCUCCACCUUCGACUUCAACGAGGCGAGGAAGAACCAAUGGCGGAUUUGCGAGGUAAGGUUUCGCCCUUCUCUUUUCUUUUAUUUGUUUUCGAAAUAAAAUAAGAAAAAGUAAAACAAAAUACAAAGCAAGAGAAUGACCACAAAGAGAAAGCCCGAAGAUUUAGAUCGAAAAAAUCACCUUCCGAUAUUGGUUUUUUUUGUAUUGUCUAUUGUGUAUUCGUGAAAUAUGCCUUCCUCCUUUUACAAUUGAUAAUCUUUGUGGCUUUAUAGCCGAAAAAAAAGAUCCAAAGAAAAUACAACAAACUUCUAUGCUAUAUGUUUUUUCUCUUUGUCAUGCUGUCUCUUUUGCAUUUGCUCGCAAGUACGAAUGUACAGAGCUUGGUGGUCGUACGGUGCUGCGCUAGCAGUGAGGAAGAAGGGCUGCUUGGUGGCUACUACGGCGCCUAGUAGAAACCCUAGGGUUCUGAGUGCUUAAUGUUUUUGGGCUUGUCGGGCCGUGUAACUUUGGGCUAGGUUUUAGGUUUUUUUGGGCCUUAUUGGGUUGAUGACACUGGGUUUUGUAACUGGACUGUUUGGUUUUAUUUAUUUGUUUUUAAUUUUGGUUUUCGGUUGUUGGGCCCGGGCAGAUUUGGCCCAUUACAAUUAGUACCUAAACUUAUUUACCUCUAUCAGAUUGGUACUUAUGAUUUUUUUUCUAAAUUGGUAUCCAAAUUUUUUUUCCAUCCAUUAGUUUGGUACUAAGCCUAAUGACAUUAAAAUUUUAUUGACGUAGUAGCAUUGGCUACUAAGAUGUUGCCACGUGUCACACUCCCAAAACCCUUUUAUCUUUUCUUUAAUUAAAAAUUAAAAAAAAACAAAAAUUAAGAAAAGGAAACGAUUGAGAUUGCCCAGAUUCAAAGCUUUUUCCCCAGAAAAUAUCAACUGCAACUUCGAUUUUCGUCCUCUUCUUCAUCAAAUUUUCAAUUUUUUUUGUUUUGCUGUUUGGUUGUCAAUUAAUCAUCCUCAAUUUUUAUUUUUCUUCUUCUUUUUGGUUCAAAUCAAAACCCCAUACCCAAAAUCAAAACCCCCAUUUCUCCUUCCUUCCCCUAAUCUCUCACCACCCCCCUCUCUCUCUCAGAUCUUUCUUCGUUUCCUUCUGUAUCUUUAGGGUUUUAAUUUCUUCUUCAUCUUAUCGUUCUUUUAUCUACUAUAUCUAGCUAGGGUUUUUUUUCAUAUUUUUUUUGUUAUGUCGAUUUUUGUAAAUAUGGAUAAACCCAAUGGCAAACUUCAUAACAACUUCUUCUUAUCUUCCUCAAAUUUCUUUCCUCAAUUCCUUCUUUUCUUUUUUGAUUUUCCUCCUAUUGAGUAACUUUUUCUUAUGUCUUAUUGAUGAGAGUAUUCGAGUAUUUAUACAUGCUAUUAUAACUUAUAGCAUGACCCCACUCUCUUGUCUUGACUCCACCAUUCCUAAUACUGACAUUCUGCGCGGAUCUCAGACUUGUUGGACACAUGUUUCACUCUAGGUUGCUUGUGGAGCAUGCGGUCCUUCUUGUUCCUAGAAUUGACAUUCUGUGUGGGCUUUAGGUCUACUGGACACCUAUUUCACUCUAGGUUGCUUGCGGUACACGUGGUCCCCCUUCCACGAGCUCCUUGGACAAGUGCAAACUAGGACUGUGACCUUCGUUUGGCUCGUGUGAGCUAAACUUGCGAGCUUGCCUUGUGAGUUGGGUCUGCGAAAUCCUCUUGAUGUCCUCUCACGGUUCACCUCACCCUUUGUCAUUUGGCGAAGCCUAUUUGGGUCACGAGUGGGUGACCUGGAUCCUAUUUAGGACUCGGGUUGAUGAUUACAAUUGUAUAACACCCCUUUUACUUAAUUAGCUUGAUUUUAUGAUGCGAAAAGAUGAUGAAUUUUGCUUUAAAAGUUCCUUUAUUAUUUUUCCUUCUUGGGUACCAAACAAGUCUUUACUGUUAUCCUGGUUGAUCGCGUCUAUGCUACUAUUUAAUUGCUAAAUUAGUUAAUGAUUUUGCAAAUAAUGCACUUUUUGAUGCAUCCCAAUAUGAAUUUUUUGGUCAAAAUGCUAUGGAAGAUGUGGAGUUAGGGGUCUAGAAGAUGAUGAACAGGAUGCAAAAAGUGGGGUUUCUUAUUAUUAUUCCUUUGUCCUUUUGGUUUUCCUUUAGAAACCCCAAUAUUGGGAUGGGGUUUAACAACGUGAUGGUGAUGAAAGGGAAAGAAAAAAACCAAAGGGAUAAUGGAUAAGUGAUAAGAUGGAUCAACGGGUCAAAGGAGUCUUGGGAGUGUGACAUGUAGCGCGCGAGUGGUCAGUGUUGCCACAUCAGCAAAAUUUUAACGUUGUUAAACUCAGGUUCCAAACUAGUGGACAGAAAAAAAGUUCAGGUACUAAUCUCAGACAAAAAAAACCAUAGUUACCAAUCUAGGAGAAGUAGACAAGUUCUUGUACUAAUUUUAUAUUUAACCAUUAUAUUUAUUAAAACAUUUUUAAAUUUAAAGAUUAAUUUAAAUUAUUGAAUUAAUUUGAUACUCAAUUUUAGAAAAUAAUCAAAAUUAAUAGGAUUAAUUUAUGGAUAAUUAUCUUAGUUUUUCAAUUUUAGAUUAAAAACGCUGAUUUUAGAAAAAUAAAAAUAAAUAAAAAUGUGAUAAUUUUGAUGUAAACUAUUAAUAUAGUUACUUUUGUUUGCCUCAAGUUACAUUUUAGUCACUUAUGUUUGAAAUGUUACAUUUUAGUCAAUUACAUUAUUGUUUUGUUACGAAAUGAUCACUUUGCCACUAAGAUCUGUUACAUUCCAAAUGACAGUCCAACGUAACGGUUAAAAUAAGUUUUAAAUAACAAUGUGGAUAUUCUGCUGGGAUGAGAAAAAUUAAAUUUUUUUUAUGCAAAUAGAAUACAAAAUUUUGCCCUGAAACUCAAUUUUCUCCGGUUUAAAAAAAAGAGCAAUUUUUUUUUUGUUACCAUCAAAGAAGAAGAAAUGGACAUACCAACCUCUAUACAUUGAACAAAUAAACAAAAAUAAAGCAUGUCUUUUUUGUCAGUUACUUAUAACAAAAAAAACAUAAAAAGAUGGACCACCUUUUUGCAAAAAAAAUCAUAGUAUUUGAACCCAAAACCCAAGUAAAGGAAAAAAAACCAUUAUUUACUGUAAUCAAUGCUUGGAUCCUCCAUUGAAUCAAUCAUUUGUUCUUCCAUUUUGAAUAAAAAAUCCAACCAAUUGAUGGAGCACCCAAUUUGAUUUCUACCAUUCUAUUCAACAAAGAUGACUAUGAAAUAGAUGGUUUUUUCAGUAAAAAUGAAAAUGAAAAUUAAAAGAAAAAGGAGACUAAAGGUUAUUUUUUUCCAGUUCAAGGAUUAAUUUGAUGCAUUUGUUUUGAUUAUUUUAGGAAACCAAAUUAAUAUUUUCCUUUAAUUAAUUUAGAAAAUUCAAUUAAUUAAAUUUAUUUAAUUAAAAAAUUAAUUAAUUUACUUGGCUGGACAUCCAUGUUAGCAUUUAAAACUCAUUUUAACUGUCACGUUGGAUUGCCAUUUGGGAGGUAAUAGAUCUUAACGAUAGAAUGACCAUUUCAUAAUAAAGCGAUAAUGUAAGACUAUACAUUUCAAACAUAAGUGACUAAAUAUAAUUUGAGGCAAACAAAAGUAACUAUUUUAAUAAUUUACCCAUAAUUUUUUAAUUCCUUUUAUUAAAAAAAACCUUUUUACUACAAAUUUACUUCUUUGGAAACAUAGCUAGAUGUAUACUAACAUUAGCAAAGCGUGAAAAAGGCUGGAGGCAUAAAUGUAUUUUUAAUCUGAACUCUGUGAUUUUAAAAAUUAAAGGUGUGAUUGGUCACCACACAAUAAUUAUAAACUUGGAAAUGAAAAGAAAUAUCUAAAUAUUAUUUAUUUUCAAAUUUGAAGAAUUCAAUGCAAUAAAUAUAAUUAUUUGGUCAAUCGUUUUUAUUCACAAGAUUAGAGUAAGUCUUGAUUACUAAUAUCUUAAGAUCUUCAAUGAAUCCCUUGGAUGAAACAGGUAGUUCACCCCUACAAAAUGAAACUCUGCUUAUAAGUGAUACUUGAGAUUGCCCAACAAGCAAACUUAUUGAUUCUCUUUUCAUAAUUAUUUUUCAAAAGGUUUAAAAGGUAUGGCAAUGCCUGCUGAUUAAUGAUACACUUUAUAGCAACAAGAUUUGCCCAUAAAUAAGAAAAUAAAUCAUCUUUUAACAACUAAACCUAAAAAAUCUUUAGUCUAAUUAAGAGGGGGUAUAAAUGUGGCUUUGGUGAGAAAACUAGUUAUUAGCAAAAAAAGAUAUGAUAAAUGGCAAAAGAUACAUAUUCUAGUAAGAUCAUUUAAGAAUUUGCACAUCAUUUCUAGUAACAAUAUUUCUAACUGUAUAAAGAGCAGAAAUUGCCACUGAAGGAAAAGGGUGCCUGUGAAAGUCCAAAAAUUUACGAUUUGGGUCAAGAAACCAAACAAUAAUAGCUUAGAAAUAGAAUAGAUUUUAGAGUCAAUCAACAACAACAACAAAAAAAAGUCUAACUCACCUUAAAAGUUCCACCAGAUGCCCAAGUACACCUGCUUCAAUAAUAGCUUGGAUGUUGUCAUUUGUGUCAUCAGAAAGAUAUGAGAGUGCCCUACAUGCUUUAGCUAAGACGACUUCAUCUUUUGAAUGAAUAAGACGGGCUAGUGUAGGGAGUACAAGCUUAACCUGAAUAGUAAGUAAAGGAUAAUCAGUAAGACAAAAAUCAAUUUAAACUAAACAUUCGUAAGCCUCCAAGCAAUAUAUCUCGCUUUCUAGUUUAAUGUUAGUAGUGCAUAGCAAUGCAUAGUUUAGAUAUCUGACAAACAACCCACCAGAUUAGAUUUGAAAGAUUAAUGACAUAAAGCAAUAAAUCGAUGAUAUCAUUUGUGAUAAAUGGAAAUAUGCCCAGAAGUUGGCAUCCGAGGCUGAACUGGUGUGAAAACAAGAUCCUUGUCUUUGGAAGCUGUGAAAAUUAUUAUUGAUAGUGGGAGUUUGAUUGGCUUAGCUUGGAAGGUACAUUGGUCGAAAGUGUGUAUUAUUGCAUGACAGUUAGCCUUGCUUAAUCUACUUCUGGUCCAAAGUAUUGGAUUGUGAGGGUGUUUAUGUUGUUUGGCUGAUGAUUUGUUUCAGUGUUUGUGGCUUGUGUAGAUAUUUGGUUCGUGGGAAUGCUCCAUUACUUAUGAUGAGUUAUUUAUACGGGUGUUCAAACAAUUAACUGAAUGGUUGACCUAAUCGAAUUAAUAUUAACUUAACUAAUUGAAUUUUUUAAUUCUUUAAUCUUUAAUUGAAUUAAAAUUUUUUCAAAAAAAAUUAAUCUAACUAAAAUAUUUUGAUUUAAUUGAUCGAUUAAUUGAAUUAAUCGAAAUUUAUAUGUUUUUUUUUGUUAAAACAAGUAUAAAAUAUAUCAAAAAAUAAAUUGAUAAUAUUCAUUUGACCAAAUUAACUGAAUUAAAACUACAUGUAAUUUGUAUUAUUAAUUAAAAAGUUUUUUAAUUCGGUUAAUUACUCGAUUUCGAACAGAAUUAAUCGAUAACCGAACUUCCAAAAAAUCAUUAAUUGACUUUCGAUCGAAUCAAAUCGGUUAACCAACCGAUUAACCAAAUUAGAUUGAUUCGAUCGGUUAAUUUGGUUUUAACUGAAAUUUGAACACUCCUAAUUUUUUUAUAGGGAACCACCACUAUAAAUACUCCCAAGCAUAAGGUCCCAAAGCACCAAAUACAAAAUUUGAAAACAAUUCCAUCCAGUGAUCGAGAUUUUCGAGUGCUUAAAAGAUUUUAGUGAUUUUCGUAU